rnacentral:rRNA from 1 species
UACGUAGGUCCCGAGCGUUGUCCGGAUUUAUUGGGCGUAAAGCGAGCGCAGGCGGUUUGAUAAGUCUGAAGUUAAAGGCUGUGGCUCAACCAUAGUUCGCUUUGGAAACUGUCAAACUUGAGUGCAGAAGGGGAGAGUGGAAUUCCAUGUGUAGCGGUGAAAUGCGUAGAUAUAUGGAGGAACACCGGUGGCGAAAGCGGCUCUCUGGUUUGUAACUGACGCUGAGGCUCGAAAGCGUGGGGAGCGAACAGG